rnacentral:rRNA from 1 species
AACGAACGCUGGCGGCAGGCCUAACACAUGCAAGUCGAACGCCGUAGCAAUACGGAGUGGCAGACGGGUGAGUAACACGUGGGAACAUACCCUUCGGUUCGGAAUAACUCAGGGAAACUUGAGCUAAUACCGGAUACGUCCGCGAGGAGAAAGGUUCAUCGCCGGAGGAUUGGCCCGCGUCCGAUUAGCUAGUUGGUGAGGUAACGGCUCACCAGGGCGACGAUCGGUAGCUGGUCUGAGAGGAUGAUCAGCCACAUUGGGGACUGAGACACGGCCCAAACUCCUACGGGAGGCAGCAGUGGGGAAUAUUGGGACAAUGGGCGCAAGCCUGAUCCAGCCAUGCCGCGUGAGUGAUGAAGGCCUUAGGGUUGUAAAGCUCUUUCGUCAGGGACGAUAAUGACGGUACCUGAAGAAGAAGCCCCGGCUAACUUCGUGCCAACAGCCGCCGCCGUAAG